rnacentral:lncRNA from 1 species
GUGGUAUUGUACUUCCAGGAAGCUUCAUUGCUUUCUAUUAUUCUCAUGACAAAAAUAAACAAUUCCUUUCGCAAUCGUAAAGAAAAAUGCCUCCCACUGAGUUGAUGUUGUGUGCUGUUAGAUGCAAGAACAUAUGUGUAAUAAAAAAUGAGAAAUUAUGGAUCAAAUAAUGACGUUGGAGCCACUUACAUAAACAAGAGAGAGCAUUUUGGAUGAGCUCCAAAUAUCGGCACUAUUGUUUAAUUUCGGCCCCAGUUAUGCAUCUGCCUAGGCUAGUGUCAAAGAUCAUCAGCUCACCAGAUAGAUAUAAAAUGCACAACUAAAAUUACAUGGCUCCAUUAUUCUGUUUACACAUGGUACAAAACCACUCUUUUCCAGCUGACUGACCCACUAGAGCAUUUCGUCCAUUGAGCUCCCUUGCAAACUCAGUGGGCUGACGUCCAUGUCUUUGUAUAUAUCAGGUCAUUUGGUACCAAGGUAGGAAUAAACUAAGAAGAGACAUGAAUAUGUUUGCUCGCUAAUGAAUCUGUUCUUUACCAUCUUGCUCUCUGCCUUCCACACAUAAUUAGGGGCUUUUAAGGCAAGGGACCGCCUGAGAGGAAGUCACAAAAUGUCAAUUAAAAGAACUGGAUGGAAACGGAGUGCCAAAUCCUUCAUUCUGGGAAAAAGAGGAAGCCAAAGAGAGCUAUGUGUUUCAGUGGUCCUCACGAAAACGUCUUCUGCCAGUCCACACACCGUGGACUCCUCAAGAGGAAGGAGAUUUACAAAAGGACUCAGACCAGGACUCUGUCUUUAAUUCAAAACCCCUUCUCAGAGAAAGUUUUCAUGCAUGAUACUGGUUCCCCCUCCAUCCCCCCCAAAAGAAAACACUAGCUAGAAAUUCUGAUCGCUGAACUUAUACCUAAAGUAAAGGUAAUUUUGAAAGCUGUGAUUUGUUCGUGGAAAGAAGGAUCAUAGGCUUCUGUUCAGUCAUGGGUUGAAAGAUGAAACUUCUGUCAUUUUUUUUUUUCUUUGAAUGCAAAACGCUGUACUCUAAGUAGGGCUGAACAGGAUCUGCCUCUCCAUCACUGACAGUUAAUAAUUAAAUCAAACAUUAUAUUCAGCAAUAGAACAUAUGCAUCAGCUUCUUUCAAAUUGCAUUUCCUUCCUGUUAGGUCCAUUAGUGUAAACCAGACUGCCUUUAGAAACCCCCUUAUUGCUACUGUCUUUCAGCACAGUUCCUGAAAUGGAUAAUGUGGUACAUAUUAUGGGCAAUUACACAGAACUCCCCAGCGAUAGGGUUUUAGAGUUACAGAAUGAAACAGCUGGAACUACAGAGCUAUAAGCUAAUCAUACAAAAAAAAAAUAGUUAAAAAAAUAAAUAACCUAGACAAAGAAAGAAAAAAAAAUAAUAAAAGAGGGAAAGUACAAGAGGUUCUCUAAAAACCACUGUUCUUAGAGAAGCUGUCUGUACCUAGAAGAACCUCGAGGGUUCACGGCAUAAAAACUACCUAAAGCUAACCAUGUUAUUUUUUAAAACAUAUUUUGUUCGGUCUUUCCACACCCCUGGUGUAAAAAGCACAUCACAAACAGCUCGCAAACUGGAGGCACUGAGACCUGAUGUUUUUCUCUCCAGCUUUACCAAUGCAGUGUUUCCAUAUUAGCACACUUGGAGAAAUCUAGUCUUCUUUUGCAAUUUGAUUUCCAUGAAAACACAUAGGGUACGAGAAGAUGAGUUUUCUGUUCCCUAAAUGAGCCGCACACGUAGUGUUUUCAUCUUGUUAUUUUAUGUUUGGGCUUGGGUAUGCAGAGCCUCAGAGAUAAGAAAUGACAAAAUCCACCUCUCCACUUGGUCUGGGGUCUGCCGCUGGAGUUUUCAGCUUGAAAAUCAGGCUCAAACAUCAGAUGUGCCCCUCAGGGAGAAGUUUCACUGUCUAAGGGGAAAAUACAUAUUCUGAUUUUUUUCUUUUCACCGUUUAGGAAAGAAAGUAAUAAUGGGUUUGGAUGGCAAAAAUGUUGCUUCGUUUGGUUGUAAGCAAAAUGCAGUUUUAGCUUGCGCCAAUGAAGUGUUUUGAAAAUUUUCAGUAAAAUUACUUUACAACUUGAGAAAUAAUGGAACAAUCUGCACGGUAACUACUGUGAAAUGGAACAAAAGUAGGUGCAAUUUCAAACUUUAAAUAUAGCCUCAGAACUAUUUUCAAAUUUGUUGCUAAAGCAGUCUACCAAAGUCUGAGGAUAUUAAGGCAGGAUAUUGGCACAACUCUUGGAGGACCAUUCUUUUUCUCUCUAAAGAGAUGGAUUACGUAGUCAUAGCCAGAUUUAUGUGGCUACUUAUAUACUUUCAUAAGGCUUUAGGAGCCGAUAUUUAUUUUAGUAACAAUAAAAUGCAGCAGGAAGAAGCUGGACAUAAAACAUGCUAUCCAGUUUGAUAUCCUUAACAAUCACUGUCUCCUACUUCCCUUAAGAGCAGUGAUUCUUGUUGGUGGUGGUCCCCCCCCCCCUUUCCUGUAAAAGCUUUAUUAUGAUAGAGUGCAAGGAGGGGAAACAGAGAUGUUAACAAGACAAAAUGGUCAAGUCAAAGGAAGACUAUGUCUCCUCAUUAUAAAAAGUAAUGGUCACUUUAAGAGUGAAAACCUCAUUUGUUUUUAUUAUUGAAACUAUAUUGGUGACUGUAGAAUAUAAUAAGCGAAUAUGCUCGCAAUACCCAAACCUAUUUGUUAAGUAACAAACAAAGUUCAGGAGAUUUAAUUGGAGGUUAUGUUUUUGUACGUUCCUGUUUUUCAGAAAGAGGGCUGUUGAGCAGAGAGAAAAAAGGCCUCCUAGAAAUGGUGGGUAUGUUAGGCAGAGGGACAGAGCGUCACUGAUACUUAAAGACAUUUUCUUGUUUUUAUUUCCAUACGGAUUUACCCCAAGGGGGGAAAAACCUGUUAUCUGUCUAUUAAUUUUUAAUGUUAAGAAAUUUCCAGAAUGACAUCCCUCUUUUUCAUCUGAAAUAGCUAUUUUUAUCUAAACAUAUCGGUCCUGUCUAACCACAAAUAUGGUUUGCAUUCCUGUUCAGAAAAAAAAUAAUAGUCCUUAGAGCAUACUUGUGCCAGGGCUGAACUAAGCACUUUAUAAAUAUUCGCUGAUUUAACCCCCUAAACCAUACUCUGGUGUGGAUGCUAUUAUUAUCCUCCUUUUGCAGAUGAAGAACCAAACCAGAGGAGGUGGAGUGACCUAACUGACUAGACACACAGCUUUAUCAAACAGUGGAGCUGAUAUGUGAACCCAGGCAGUUGGAGCCCAGAGUCUGAACUCUUAAAUAUCACAAUACAAUGCCUUCAAAAACAGACAUACUGCAGACCUGUAUAGUCCAUAAACAAUCAGUUCUUAAACCACUCUUCUCACCUGGUUCGAGAAUGACUAAGUAGCAAUGAAUCACGCAGCUAUGUCGGAACAUGCAAAUCAUGAUUCUGCAAUACUGUUUCGGUUACUAUUGGAAAGCCUGUAAAAUUCUCACAUUUACCUUAGGCCAGAGUC